UACGGGGGGGGGGCAAGCGUUUGUUCGGAAUUACUGGGCGUAAAGGGCUCGUAGGCGGCCAACUAAGUCAGACGUGAAAUCCCCAGGCUCAACCUGGGAACUGCGUCUGAUACUGGAUGGCUUGAAUUCGGGAGAGGGAUGCAGAAUUCCAGGUGUAGCGGUGAAAUGCGUAGAUAUCUGGAGGAAUACCGGUGGCGAAGGCGGCAUCCUGGACCGACAUUGACGCUGAGGAGCGAAAGCUAGGGGAGCAAACGGG
rnacentral:rRNA from 1 species